UUUCCGGCAGCUUCUCGCGGCUUCGCAAGCCCCUUCCCGUGAUGCCCCGCGCCUGGCUGUCGCGGUUGCCGGGCAACGCGCGGUCCAUGUCGCGGGCCUCGCUGGGACUCCCUGGGAGAUGAGGCCGCGAGGUCUCCCGCCGCUCCUUGUGGUGCUCCUGGGCUGCUGGGCCUCCGUGAGCGCCCAGACCGAGGCCACCCCGGCGGUGACGACAGAGGGCCUCAACUCCACCGAGGCAGCCCUGGCCACCUUCGGAACUUCCCCGUCGACCAGGCCCCCCGGGACUCCCAGGGCUCCAGGGCCCUCCUCGGGCCCCAGGCCUACCCCGGUCACGGACGUUGCUGCUCUCUGUGUCUGUGACUUAUCCCCAGCACAGUGUGACGUCAACUGCUGCUGUGAUCCCGACUGCAGCUCCGUGGAUUUCAGUGUCUUUUCUGCCUGCUCAGUUCCAGUUGUCACGGGCGACAGCCAGUUUUGUAGUCAAAAAGCAGUCAUCUAUUCAUUGAAUUUUACAGCAAACCCACCUCAAAGAGUAUUUGAACUUGUUGACCAGAUUAAUCCAUCUAUUUUCUGCAUUCAUAUUACAAACUAUAAACCUGCAUUAUCCUUUAUUAAUCCAGAAGUACCUGAUGAAAACAAUUUUGAUACAUUGAUGAAAACAUCUGAUGGUUUUACAUUGAAUGCUGAAUCAUAUAUUUCCUUCACAACCAAACUGGAUAUUCCUACUGCUGCUAAAUAUGAGUAUGGGGUUCCUCUGCAGACUUCAGAUUCGUUUCUGAGAUUUCCUUCGUCCCUGACAUCAUCUCUGUGCACUGAUAAUAACCCUGCAGCGUUUCUGGUGAACCAGGCUGUUAAGUGCACCAGAAAAAUAAAUUUAGAACAGUGUGAAGAAAUUGAAGCCCUCAGCAUGGCUUUUUACAGCAGCCCGGAAAUUCUGAGGGUACCUGAUUCAAGAAAAAAGGUCCCUAUCACUGUUCAGUCCAUCGUCAUUCAGUCUCUAAAUAAAACGCUCACCCGACGGGAGGACACUGAUGUGCUGCAGCCGACUCUCGUCAACGCUGGACACUUUAGCCUUUGCGUGAAUGUUGUUCUUGAGGUAAAGUACAGCCUCACAUACACAGAUGCAGGUGAAGUCACCAAAGCUGAUCUCUCAUUCCUUCUGGGGACAGUUAGCAGCAUAGUGGUCCCAUUGCAGCAAAAGUUUGAAAUUCAUUUUCUUCAGGAAAAUACCCAGCCAGUCCCUCUCAGUGGAAACCCUGGUUAUGUCGUGGGGCUCCCAUUAGCUGCUGGAUUCCAGCCUCAUAAGGGGUCUGGGAUUAUUCAGACCACAAAUAGAUAUGGACAGCUUACUAUUCUUCAUAGCACAACUGAGCAAGACUGCUUAGCACUGGAGGGGAUCCGGACCCCAGUAUUAUUUGGUUACACUAUGCAAUCUGGCUGUAAACUAAGAUCUUCAGUGGAACACAGUUUGGGAAACACUGUUUUAGACUCAUCAUCUCACAGACUGACUGGAGCUCUCCCGUGUCAGCUCAUAGCACAGAAGGUGAAGAGCCUGCUGUGGGGCCAGGGCUUCCCAGAUUACGUGGCCCCUUUUGGAAAUUCCCAGGCCCAGGACAUGCUGGACUGGGUGCCCAUCCACUUCAUCACCCAGUCAUUCAACAGGAAGGAUUCCUGCCAGCUCCCAGGGGCUUUGGUUAUAGAAGUGAAGUGGACUAAAUACGGAUCCCUGCUGAAUCCACAGGCCAAAAUAGUCAAUGUAACUGCAAAUCUAAUUUCAUCCUCCUUUCCUGAGGCCAACUCAGGAAAUGAAAGGACGAUUCUUAUUUCCACUGCGGUUACUUUUGUGGAUGUGUCUGCACCUGCAGAGGCAGGCUUCAGAGCUCCGCCAGCCAUCAAUGCCAGGCUGCCCUUUAACUUCUUCUUCCCGUUUGUUUGACAAUGCUCAGAUGCAUCAGUUCCUUAAUAUACACGUGAAAUUUGAAAACUGUACAUUCGGUUGGCAAGAGUCUUAAAGUCUACAUCAAAUAUCGGUGACGGCGUGAAGCAAUGGGUUCUCUUGAACGCUGAAGACAGAAACAGGCACCAGCACCAUCAUUUUGGGGAGAAAUUUGGCAUGAUCUUCUCAAGUUGAAGUGGUCUUAGACCAGAAAAACUACCAUCUGGGAGAGAAGGGGAAAGUGAAAAAGACAGACCUAGAAGCGAAGGAGAGAAAAGCAUUUUGUGGAUGCCUAUUUUUACAGGCUCGGAAGCCGCCAUCUGUGGGAGGGGGAAAGUCCCUAGUUCAUUGUUAUCUGACAAUCGGAGAAAAAGGUACUUUUUAAGAAAGUCAGCCAACUCCCAACUCCCAUGGCCUGAUGUCCCUUCAGUUUGCAUUUCCCUGUUCCCUCCCAGAGCUAUUUUGGGGGACUUGAUUUGCAUAUUAACUACCACCCUCACCCCAAAACUCUAAGACACAAUGGCAGCAACGUGUAUUACUAUGGUUGCUUAUUUUAUCACACCUCAUAUCAUCUCAGCAUGCUGCUAACUUCCUUCCAUGCACUAUUUCAUUUCAAUUCCUAACAGCCCUGAGGUUGAGGCCAUCCUUUAGGGUCCUGGCGAGGGGGAGCCUUGUCCAAGGUCACACACUGUGGGGAACUGGAAAAGCAGGAUCUGCCCCUGGGCUCCAUGACUUGGAGAAACAAGUUCUAGAAAACACAGCUGACAGAAAGCCAGGCAGCCAGUGACCGGAGAGCCACCUGCUCAGAGGGUGGAGUAGGUGGAAUUGUGCACACCCCCCUAACAAUUCCUGUCCCCCUGGACCCUUAGAAUGUGACCUUAUUUGGAAUGUAGGUCUUUGCAGAUGUAACUAAAGAUGAUAAGAUGAAAUCAUACUGGAUUUAGGGUGGGCCCUAAAUCUGGUGAUUGGUGUCCUUAUAAAAACAGAAAAGGGGCCAGGCACGGUAGCUCACGCCUGUAAUCCCAGCACUUUGGGAGGCUGAGGUGGGUGGACCACUUGAGGUCAAGAGUUCAAGACCAGCAUGGCCAACAUGGCGAAACCCCAUCUCUACUAAAAAUAUAAAAAUUGGCCAGGCGCAGUGGCUCAUGCCUGUAAUCCCAGCACUUUGAGAGGCCAGGGUGGACAGAUCGCCUGAGGUCAGGAGUUCAAGACCAGCCUGCCCAACACAGUGAAAACCUGUCUCUACUAAAAAUACAAAAAUUAGCCGGGCGUGGUGGUGGGUGCCUGUAAUCCUAGCUACUCAGGAGGCUGAAGCAGGAGAAUCGCUUGAACUCGAGAGGCUGCAGUGAGCCGAGAUCAUGCCAUUGCACUCCAGCCUGGGAGACUGAAUGAGACUCGGUCUCAAAAACAAAAAAGAGAGAAAAGGACACACAGAGGGUAAGGUCACGUGAAGAUCACAGAGGUCAGAAUGAUAUGUCCACAAGCCAAAGACUGCAGGCAACACCAGAGGCUGGGAUGGAAGAGGCCUGGGACACAUCUCCCCAUCCCAAAGCCUCCAGGAGCCAGUCCUGCCAACACCUUGAUUUUGGGCUUCUGGUUUCUGGAACUGGUGAGAAUGAGUUCCUGUUGUUGAAGCCCCCCAGUUUGUAGUAGUUUGUCACAGCAGCCACAGGCAACCAGGACAGAGGGUGUGUGCCUGAGUUAGCCAGGAUGGUCUGUAGGCCAGGUACUGUCUUUCCCUUUAUCUUUCCGGGCCACACAUUUGUCCUGGACUCCAAGGAGAAAGCCGACUUCUUCAGGGCCCAAAACCACUUGGAGAAAGCCUGAUUCUGCAGCCAACAACAGUGACAGCGGCUCCUUUUGCUCAGAGCCCACAGGUCACACCACCUGCUGUCGCUUGAUACUUUUAAUACUCCUAAGAAGUAGGCAGGAAGGGUAGGUGAAGUCUCUCCAUUUUGCAAAAGGGAAACUGAGGCCUGGGGAGGAGAGACCGCUUGCCUGAAGUCACACCGUGCCACACAUUUUGGCAGGGUGACAGAGGCAGAGGGAAGUGGGCACUCCUGUAUGCCAGCUGUUGGGCAUGUAAAUGGGUGUAUUCUUCCUAGGAGGGUAACAGGGCAGUUCCUUUCAUCUUUUGAAAAAAUAUUUGAGUCUCUCUGAUGUGCCAGGCUUGGGGACAAAGGAGGGGAUUGGCCCUAAACCAAUUUAUAUCAAAAUUUUAUUUCCUUUUUAUUGAGAUGGGAUCUCAUUUUGUUGUUCAGGCUGGAGUGCAGCCGCAAACUCCUGGGCUCAAGCAAUCCUCCCGCCUCAGCCUCCCAAGUAGCUAGGACUACAGGUGUGUGCCACCAUGGCUACCUUGGUUUCUAUCAACAUUUAAAAUGUCCUUAUUGCUUGACUUUACAAGAGACUCCCACGUGCACACAGGUGCUUGCUCCAGUCCUGCUUCAAGAGCCCUAAACCGGAAACCAGCUCAAAGUCUGUUGCCCAGGACACCAUGGAAGACCCAUACCACAGAGCACCACACCACUGUGUGGCAGGCCUGUAGACCUCACACACCCACAGGGAAAGGGGUCCUCAAGCUACGAUUAUGGGAAAACUGACAAAAUCAACCCCAACUCCCAGGAGGAGAGAGGGACUGGGUUGGUGGGUGAAACUUUGCAUUUUUUUUCUAAUAGGUUUGGCUGAUACCAAACCUAUUAGAUAUGAUUUGGUUUGGCUGUGUCCCCACCCAAAUCUCAACUUGAAUUAUCUCCCAGAAUUCUCAUGUGUUGCAGGAGGCACCCGGGGGAGGUAAUUGAAUCAUGGGGGCCAAUCUUUCCCAUGUGAUUCUCGUGAUAGUGAACAAGUCUCACAAGAUCUGAUGGGUUUAUCAGGGGUUUCUGCUUUUGCUUCUAAUUUUCUCUUGCUGCUGCCACAUAGGAAGUGCCUUUCACCUCCUGCCAUAAUUCUGAGGCCUCCCCAGCCAUGUGGAACUGUAAGUCCAAUUAAACCUCUUUUUCUUCCCA